UACGGGGGGGGUAAGCGUUGUUCGGAAUUACUGGGCGUAAAGGGCUCGUAGGCGGCCAACUAAGUCGGACGUGAAAUCCCUCAGCUUAACUGGGGAACUGCGUCCGAUACUGGAUGGCUUGGAUUUGGGAGAGGGAUGCGGAAUUCCAGGUGUAGCGGUGAAAUGCGCAGAUAUCAGGAGGAACACCGGUGGCGAAGGCGGGUCUCUGGACGGUGACUGACGCUGAGACGCGAAAGCGUGGGGAGCAAACAGG
rnacentral:rRNA from 1 species